rfam:Lactobacillus mixtipabuli DNA, scaffold: sequence02, strain: IWT30.
AAAUGUAAGUAGAAGCACCCGCUUCUCGCCUCGUGGUUAACGCUGCCUGGCCGAUACGUAAAUAAACCAAGCCUGAGAAAGGUUUGGGUAUUUAACGGGUGCGCAUUGCGUGCCCGUUAUUUGUUUGGGUA